AUGAACGCUGGCGGCGUGCCUAACCCAUGUAAGUCGAGCGAUUUCGUAGCAAUAUGAAAGAGCGGCGGAAGGGUGAGUAACACGUAGGAGACCUACCUCAUCGCAGGGAACAACUUCGCGAAAGCGGAGCUAAUACCCAGAAGGCUCGCAGCUUCGGUGUUGCGAGGAGAGUGACCCCGCAAGGGGACGCGUGAUGAGAGGGUCCUGCGGCCCAUCAGCUCGUUGGUAGGGUAGUGGCCUACCAAGGCAACGACGGGUAGGGGGUCUGAGAGGACGAUCCCCCACACUGGAACUGAAACACGGUCCAGACGCCUACGGGUGGCAGCAGGGAGGAAUAUUGGGCAAUGGACGAAAGUCUGACCCAGCAACGCCGCGUGGAGGAUGAAGGCCUUCGGGUCGUAAACUCCUUUUGAGGGAGAAGAGCAAGGACGGUAUCCCUCGAAUAAGCCACGGCUAACUACGU
rnacentral:rRNA from 1 species